CAGGUCUCCGCUGAACUUUUGCAACCUUCCUGAGAACUGCCCCUCACCCCACUUCUGGCCCAAUCGGUGGUGUAAGAGGAGUGGGAGAGAAAUAACUCAUGAUGGCAUGGGAAGAGCAUGAGCUUUGCCACUUAUUGGCAAUGGGCUCUUGGAGAGAGUACAUCCUCAAAUUGAGGUGUGGCAUGAUGAUUUGGCUGCCCAGAGGAGAACCUGUCUUUCCCAUCUAAAGUGGGAGGUCAAGCCAAGUAGAGGCAUGUGAUCCUGAGAGGCGAUGGAAACAGUGAAUUGCCGGGCCAGGGCCAUCUCCGCCUGGCUGUGGAAGAGGAACGGGAUCCCUUCCUGGACUGCAUAAGCCCCAGGUAUAUCUGAAGCAUAUUUGACAACAGAAAAAGUUAAUGUA
rnacentral:lncRNA from 1 species